AUUGAACGCUGGCGGCAGGCCUAACACAUGCGAGUCGAACGAGUGGCGGACGGGAGAGUAAUGACUGGGAAACUUCCUGAGGGAGGGGGAUAACUACUGGAAACGAUUGCUAAUACCGCAUACCAUCGGAUGUGCCGAGAUGGGAUGAGCUAGUAGGUGGGGUAAAGGCGGACCUAGGCAACGAUCCCUAGCUGGUCUGAGAGGAUGACCAGCCACACUGGAACUGAGACACGGUCCAGAAUCCUACGUGAGGCAGCAGUGGGGAAUAUUGCACAAUGGGCGCAAGCCUGAUGCAGCCAUGCCGCGUGUAUGAAGAAGGACUUCGGGUUGUAAAGUACUUUCAGCGGGGAGGCGUUACCCGCAGAAGAAGCACCGGCUAACUCCGUGCCAGCAGCCGCGGUAAUAC
rnacentral:rRNA from 1 species